AUUGAACGCUGGCGGCAUGCCUUACACAUGCAAGUCGAACGGUAACGCGGGGCAACCUGGCGACGAGUGGCGAACGGGUGAGUAAUGCAUCGGAACGUGCCCAGUAGUGGGGGGUAGCCCGGCGAAAGCCGGAUUAAUACCGCAUACGACCUACGGGUGAAAGGGGGGGAUCGCAAGACCUCUCGCUAUUGGAGCGGCCGAUGUCAGAUUAGGUAGUUGGUGGGGUAAAGGCCUACCAAGCCGACGAUCUGUAGCUGGUCUGAGAGGACGACCAGCCACACUGGGACUGAGACACGGCCCAGACGCCUACGAGAGGCAGCAGUGGGGAAUUUUGGACAAUGGGCGCAAGCCUGAUCCAGCCAUGCCGCGUGCGGGAAGAAGGCCUUCGGGUUGUAAACCGCUUUUGUCAGGGAAGAAAUCUUCUGGGUUAAUACCUCGGGAGGAUGACGGUACCUGAAGAAUAAGCACCGGCUAACUACGUGCCAGCCGCCGCCGUAACAC
rnacentral:rRNA from 1 species